rnacentral:tRNA from 1 species
ACUUAAAUAAUUUAAAAAAAAAUAUUGAUUUGUGGUGUCAAAAUUAUGAAAUAUAUCAUUUUAAGUC